GGGUGUGUAGCUCAGUUGGGAGAGCGUCGCCCUUACAAGGCGAAUGUCGGGAGUUCGAACCUCUCCACACCCACCA
rnacentral:tRNA from 31 species